rnacentral:rRNA from 2 species
GGGGGGGGGGGGGGCUAAUACAUGCAGUCGAGCGAACUGAUUAGAAGCUUGCUUCUAUGACGUUAGCGGCGGACGGGUGAGUAACACGUGGGCAACCUGCCUGUAAGACUGGGAUAACUUCGGGAAACCGAAGCUAAUACCGGAUAGGAUCUUCUCCUUCAUGGGAGAUGAUUGAAAGAUGGUUUCGGCUAUCACUUACAGAUGGGCCCGCGGUGCAUUAGCUAGUUGGUGAGGUAACGGCUCACCAAGGCAACGAUGCAUAGCCGACCUGAGAGGGUGAUCGGCCACACUGGGACUGAGACACGGCCCAGACUCCUACGGGAGGCAGCAGUAGGGAAUCUUCCGCAAUGGACGAAAGUCUGACGGAGCAACGCCGCGUGAGUGAUGAAGGCUUUCGGGUCGUAAAACUCUGUUGUUAGGGAAGAACAAGUACAAGAGUAACUGCUCGUACCUUGACGGUACCUAACCAGAAAGCCACGGCUAACUACGUGCCAGCAGCCGCGGUAAUACGUAGGUGGCAAGCGUUAUCCGGAAUUAUUGGGCGUAAAGCGCGCGCAGGCGGUUUCUUAAGUCUGAUGUGAAAGCCCACGGCUCAACCGUGGAGGGUCAUUGGAAACUGGGGAACUUGAGUGCAGAAGAGAAAAGCGGAAUUCCACGUGUAGCGGUGAAAUGCGUAGAGAUGUGGAGGAACACCAGUGGCGAAGGCGGCUUUUUGGUCUGUAACUGACGCUGAGGCGCGAAAGCGUGGGGAGCAAACAGGAUUAGAUCCUUGGGGUAGU